rnacentral:sRNA from 1 species
GCUUUCAACAUCCCCGUCUCAGAGGUGAGAAGACGGUAUCGGCCCAUGCCGAUACCAGACGACCUUUGUGAGACUGAAGGC